rnacentral:pre_miRNA from 12 species
AUACAAGUCAUUUGGGAUCUUGUUAAAAUGCAGAUUCUGAUUAAAUGAAUUUGACAUAGGUCUGAGAUUUUGCAUUUUUAACAAGCUCCCAGGUGAUGCGUAU